AAUACUUUAAUAUUAGAAACAACCUCAAAAAUAGAACAUAGUUCUAAGAAGGAUAGAUGGUAAUUUGUCCCUACUGCUUGUAACGUCAGCACCCUUCUCUCGCUUCAUUCUCCCUUGCUUCACGUACCUUGCUUCCUGCUCAGCUACAAUCAAAUGCAAACAGCCACAUUCAUUUAGAGUCUCCACACCAUUCUGACCUUGCUGUCUAGACUAUUUUCUAUAACCAAUUACCACAAACUUAAAGCAACUUAGAUCAAACAUAGGUUAAAACGACCCGGUCUAUUACCUCACCAUUCCGGAGGUUAGGAUUUGCUGCUCUGAGUUUCCCAAGGACAAAUUCUUGUUAGCUGGCUGUGCUCCUGGAUAGAAUUCACUUCCAAGCUCUUUCAGGCCAUUGGCAGAAUUGAGGUCCAUGCAGCUGUAGGGGUAAGGUGCUGUUUGCCUGCAGAGGCAUGUCUUUGGCUUGGCCUCUGGCCCCAAGGGCAGCAGCAGGGGCCGAAGCUUCUGUAAGNUCUUUCCCUCUAGUAUUUUUGUUAGGUCAGGGUUUCUUCUUUUUCAGCAUGCUUAUUUUUACAUUUUCUAUUGCAAGCCUACAUGGUUUUAUUCAAAUAUAUAUAAAACUCUAUUAACAGACCUCUUUGAGAAGUUUUCAUUUCUUGUGUUUCAAAUCUCUACCUCCCUUUCUGUCUCUUCUUUCCUGAGUCUCCUUUUUCAAAGACUUCUAACAUUUCUGCCUUCUGGUUUGCUUUUAAGGCCUCAUGUGAUUAUCUUUGAUCCACCUGGAAAAACACAGGUUUCUCACCUCAUGUUAAUCUCGGGUUAUUAUUAACCUGCAAAAUCCUUAAACAGCAGUAUCUAGCUGCAAGUUUGAUCGAAAAAAACAGAGGGUGGGAAUCUUUAGAACAUAAACAUCAUUAAUAUUUCUCCCACCAUAUUGUAAUAAAGGCUUGGUCUCUCAAACAUACUUCCUUAUAGACCCUAAAAUAUCUU
rnacentral:lncRNA from 1 species